rnacentral:rRNA from 1 species
GAUGAACGCUGGCGGCGUGCCUAAUACAUGCAAGUCGAGCGAACAGAUGAGGAGCUUGCUCCUCUGACGUUAGCGGCGGACGGGUGAGUAACACGUGGAUAACCUACCUAUAAGACUGGGAUAACUUCGGGAAACCGGAGCUAAUACCGGAUAAUAUAUUGAACCGCAUGGUUCAAUAGUGAAAGACGGUUUUGCUGUCACUUAUAGAUGGAUCCGCGCCGCAUUAGCUAGUUGGUAAGGUAACGGCUUACCAAGGCAACGAUGCGUAGCCGACCUGAGAGGGUGAUCGGCCACACUGGAACUGAGACACGGUCCAGACUCCUACGGGAGGCAGCAGUAGGGAAUCUUCCGCAAUGGGCGCAAGCCUGACGGAGCAACGCCGCGUGAGUGAUGAAGGUCUUCGGAUCGUAAAACUCUGUUAUUAGGGAAGAACAAAUGUGUAAGUAACUAUGCACGUCUUGACGGUACCUAAUCAGAAAGCCACGGCUAACUUCGUG